UAGCAAGGCCGGCAAGACCGGUGCCAGCCGCCGCGGUAACACCGGCGGCUCGAGUGGUAACCGUUAUUAUUGGGUCUAAAGGGUCUGUAGCCGGCCGGAUAAGUCUCUUGGGAAAUCCAGCAGCCUAACUGUUGGGCUUUCAGGAGAUACUAUUCGGCUCGAGGCCGGGAGAGGUGAGAGGUACUUCAGGGGUAGGGGUGAAAUCUUGUAAUCCUUGAAGGACCACCAGUGGCGAAGGCGUCUCACCAGAACGGACCUGACGGCAAGGGACGAAAGCUAGGGGCACGAACCGGAUUAGAUACCCGGGUAGUCCUAGCCGUAAACGAUACUCGCUAGGUGUCGGCCACGGUGCGACCGUUGUCGGUGCCGUAGGGAAGCCGUGAAGCGAGCCACCUGGGAAGUACGGCCGCAAGGCUGAAACUUAAAGGAAUUGGCGGGGGAGCACCACAACGGGUGGAGCUUGCGGUUUAAUUGGAUUCAACGCCGGAAAUCUUACCGGGACCGACAGCGAUAUGAAGGCCAGGCUGAAGACUUUGCCGGAUUAGCUGAGAAAGUA
rnacentral:rRNA from 1 species